GACGAACGCUGGCGGCGUGCUUAACACAUGCAAGUCGAGCGGUAAGGCCCUUUCGGGGGUACACGAGCGGCGAACGGGUGAGUAACACGUGGGUGACCUGCCCUUAGCUCUGGGAUAAGCCUGGGAAACUGGGUCUAAUACCGGAUAUGACUCCAUGACGCAUGUUGUGGGGUGAAAGCCUUGUGCGGCUAGGGAUGGGCCCGCGGCCUAUCAGCUUGUUGGUGGGGUNAUGGCCCACCAAGGCGACGACGGGUAGCCGGCCUGAGAGGGCGACCGGCCACACUGGGACUGAGACACGGCCCAGACUCCUACGGGAGGCAGCAGUGGGGAAUCCUGCGCAAUGGGCGAAAGCCUGACGCAGCGACGCCGCGUGAGGGAUGACGGCCU
rnacentral:rRNA from 1 species